CCUACGGGAGGCAGCAGUGAGGAAUAUUGGUCAAUGGGCGCGAGCCUGAACCAGCCAAGUAGCGUGAAGGAUGACUGCCCUACGGGUUGUAAACUUCUUUUAUAAAGGAAUAAAGUGAGGCACGUGUGCCUUUUUGUAUGUACUUUAGGAACAAGGAUCGGCUAACUACGUGCCAGCAGCCGCGGGAAUACGGAGGAUCCGAGCGUUAUCCGGUUUUAUUGGGUUUAAAGGGAGCGUAGAUGGGUGGUUAAGUCAGUUGUGAACGUUUGCGGCUCAACCGUAAAAUUGCAAUUGAUACUGGCCGUCUUGAGUACAGUUGAGGUAGGCGGAAUUCGUGGUGUAGCGGUGAAAUGCUUAGAUAUCACGAAGAACUCCGAUUGCGAAGGCAGCUUACUAAACUGCCACUGACAUUGAUGCUCGAAAGUGUGGGUAUCAAACAGGAUUAGAUACCCGAGUAGUC
rnacentral:rRNA from 1 species